CAAUAGCGUAUACUAAAGUUGUUGCAGUUAAAAAGCUCGUAGUCGAAUAUAGGUUGUUUGGAUGCGCGAGCACUCUUGUUUAACUUGAGAUGCUUGCGCCCAUUAGCCGCCCUUGUGGGGCUCGAUGUUCUGAUUAUCAAGAAUACUCAAUCGAUCCCACACAUUACUGUGAACAAAAUAGAGUGUUCAUGGCAGGCCAUUAGGGCUUGAAUACCGCAGCAUGGAAUAAUAGAAUAGGACUUCCGGUUCUAUUUUAUUGGUUUUUGGAGCCGAAGUAAUGAUUAAUAGGGAUAGUUGGGGGCACUCGUACUCCGUUGUCAGAGGUGAAAUUCUUGGAUUGACGGAAGACGAACAACUGCGAAAGCAUCUGCCAAGGAUGUUUUCAUUG
rnacentral:rRNA from 1 species